rnacentral:lncRNA from 1 species
AUGGUGGUACCAAGAUGUGCAGAUAACCAUUUUCCACCUAAAUUUCCUGGUCUUCAGAAUGUUUCCCGCAUAAGGGUAUCACACACAUUCCCUUUUCCUGCCUCACUUCAUAAAAAGUCCCUCCAGUCGGCUGCCCUCAGCUUCCAUACUUGUCCUGUGCCUUUCCUAAACUGGGUUCCAUUUUGCUUUUCCCCAGACCACGCUCUUCCACGUUCUAUGCCUCUAACACAACACUUCGUAGUUAUUUGCUUGCAUAUUUAUCUAAUCUUCUGGUUGGUAAGUUUUCUUAAGGAGAGAGAGUCAUGCUCAUUGAUGUAUACAUCUAGACCCAUGGCAGACACUUAAAUAUGAGCUGCUUGAAGAUCACAUUUGCCUUGGCAGUAAAUCACUUCCGCAUUAGGAGCUUUCAGUUAUGGCAGACAUUGCCAGCUGUCCAAUUUACAUUUAUGCUUCUUACUAACGGAACCUGGAUUUUGUUUUGGGGAACAGUGUGCCAGCCUCAUUGAUCCAUCAUCCCUUGUGGUAUAUCUCUGUUCAAAAGACGUAGGAAUAAAUACCUGGGCUUUUCCUGUCUGGCA